CAUGAAGUUGUAAAGAGUGAGAGCAACCUACUGUUGAUAGAGAAGCUCAUGCAGAUGACCUUUGCCCUUCGUCGCCAGGAGAUUGUUCAGUAAGACCCAUUGGUCAAGGACUUCUUAGAGAGAUGGCCAGCCCUUAAGAUGGAAUCACAGGUGUGUGCUGAGUUCCACCGUAUCACUAACGUCAACCUACGGAACCAGUUCUAUAGUGAGCUUGACAGACACCCACCUCAACUACUGGCCUUGUACAGACAGAAAGCAGGACGCACUGGCAAAACAUCAGAGGCACUGCGUGACCUCCUGAGGACUUAUGAUCUGCAGGUGAGUUAAAAAUGAAGAAACUCCCAUUAUAUUAGAGAGAAGGCAGAAAUCUCUACGGCUGAUUACAGUCAUGGCCAAAAGUUUUGAGAAUGACACAACUAUUAAUUUUCACAAAGUCUGCUGUUUCAGUUUUUAUAAUGGCAAUACGAAAAUGUGGGAAUUAUAAAAUGUGGUUAAUAUUGGUGACACAAAGUCAGGAACAGGGUAAGUUGUCUAAGCUAAUUGGAGAGCAGAAUAAAUAAUUUAUGAACACCUCCAGAUGGUUUGGUCCAGGAGGCCAAUAAGUGCCACAGUAUAAAAGGUGCCAGUUACAAUCUGUCUGUGUUCGUUGUUGGUUGGUGUUUGAUGUCGCUGUGGCUGUUUGUUUAAUAAACCAGUGUGUGGUACACCUGAACCACCGCCUGUGAUUUUGUU